rnacentral:lncRNA from 1 species
GAGAAUAGUGAAUGCGAGAGACAUGAGGGACAGGUAGGGCUUUACUCUCUUCUUUCAAAGCUUUAAAAAUUGGGUUUCUAUCGCCUGUAGUUGAUUGUAGAAAUUUGUGUGUUUUCUUUUGAUAAAAAAUGGUUUUUUAGCUUGGGUUACUGUUGUCGAUACUUUGGUUUGUGUAUUUAUUUUGUUAUUUUUCAUUUUUGACAGUUUAUUUGGACUUUACAUUCAUCAUGGUGGGAGAUUUGUGAGGUUGGAUGGUAAAGAAGUGUACGUUGGAGGUGAAUGUGAGGUGAGCUUGAAACAUGAUCCUGAUAUGUUUGGAUAUUUCGAUGUAGAAGAAAUAGUGAAAAAUCUGGGAUACUCAAGUUGGGUGAAAUUGUGCUAUGAAAUUCCUAGAAGUCAGUCCUUUUGUGUCUUGCAAGAUGAUAAAAAUUGCAUGGAGAUGCUUUCUUGUCUUACUCCAUAUAUCAGGGUUUUGCAUUGUUAUGUUGAUGGUG